rnacentral:lncRNA from 1 species
CGAUGUGUACAGGGUUCCCAAGCCCACCUCGACAGAUGGUACUACGCUUGGUACACUGGGCCACGAUGCCUAGUCUGUCCCAAGCCCACCUGUAUGGGGUGCCACUCGGUAGACUACUAGCAUGUCCUACAAACACCAGAAACCAGUUGCAACUCUUGGACAGAGAUCUAGGUGAUUAAUAAGUCGAGAGAGUCAAUUAAGGAUCCCAGUGUGCGGUAGUAGCUAGUCUUGGAUAACAUACACAUGACUCGGUUCUUUAGGUCGGUCCCAAUGAGACAACCCACCAUGUACUCCUACAUAGCC